rnacentral:rRNA from 1 species
AAUGAACGCUGGCGGCGCGCCUAAUACAUGCAAGUCGAGCGAGAAGACGUAGCAAUACGUUUGUAAAGCGGCGAACGGGUGAGGAAUACAUGGGUAACCUACCCUAGAGUGGGGAAUAACUAGCCGAAAGGUUAGCUAAUACCGCGUACGCUCCUUGGACUUCGGUUCAGGGAGGAAAGCGAUGCCGAGGGUAUCGCGCUCUUGGAUGGGCUCAUGUCCUAUCAGCUUGUUGGNGAGGUAACGGCUCACCAAGGCUUCGACGGGUAGCUGGUCUGAGAGGACGAUCAGCCACACUGGCACUGCGACACGGGCCAGACUCCUACGGAGGCAGCAGUAAGGAAUAUUGCGCAAUGGGCGAAAGCCUGACGCAGCGACGCCGCGUGGGGGA